rnacentral:tRNA from 1 species
GAUACCGUGGCAGAAUGGUAAAUGCGCCUAUUUGUUAACGGGUAGAUUGCAGGUUCGAGUCCUGUCGGUAUCACAA